rnacentral:rRNA from 1 species
UAAGCGAAGGGGGCGAGCGUUGUUCCGGAUUUAGCUGGGCGUAAAGGGUGCGUAGGCUGCGCGGAGGGUGGGAUGUGAAAUCCCCCGGCUCAACCGGGGAAUAGCGUCCCAAACCGCCGUGCUCGAGGGAGACAGAGGUGAGCGGAACUGAUGGUGGAGCGGUGAAAUGCGUUGAUAUCAUCAGGAACACCAGUGGCGAAGGCGGCUCACUGGGUCUUUCCUAACGCUGAGGCACGAAAGCUAGGGGAGCGAACGGG